CCCCCCCAAUAAAUGAUGACCAUUUUCUAAAGUAUCAUGGAGUGUUCGAUCGCUUGAGAAGCACAAUUUGUAAAUGCGUAAGGCAUUUUUGAAAUCUUUCGGUAUAAAGAUGACAAACAGAUAUUGUUUGUAUACUUUUGAAGUUUGUCAUUUCGUACAUUGCUAUUUGUUCAUAUUCUCAGGGAGGCCGUUGGCCACUUGGCUGUGGGGGAGGGGGGGGGGGCAGCUUUUUCAUGCUAUCUCUGUUGCUUCGUGUUGCUUCUAGCGGCACCCCUAGGAUUUUCUUUUAAACAGCUCAGCUCUGUCAAGUCAAGACCGCAGUCCUGUCAAGUCAAGAUAAAUUAUAAGCCAGUAGCAUAGUUGUAGUUCUAGUAUUCUAUUCAUAUUUUUGUAUCGUUGGGCUUGAUUAUUAAAUUAUAAGAAUUAUCGAAAUUAUCUCAAACGUGGUGAUUCAUUUGUACGUAGUAUCCUACAAUAAGCUGUCGUGGUUUGUGUCUGAACUACCUGAAAAAGAUAUCUCAAACGUGGUGGUCCAGUG
rnacentral:lncRNA from 1 species